CCCUCUUGGACUGGAAGUUCCAUGAGGUCAAGGACUGUAUGUUCCUGUCCUCCCAUAUUCUUUCUCUCCAAAAGCCUAACACAAUGCUGGGCACAGAGUCAUAUUCGAUGGGUACUUGCUGAUGAGUUGAAGAGAAACUACAGUGUGAACCAUGGCCAAGAGGCUUUGUGACCUCAUUGUCCUGUGAGUUACCUUGUCCAGACAACAUACUGAAAAAUCACUGCUUUUCCUGAGGUCUGACUGGUAGCACCUGGUUCAAUCUCAGAAUAGUGAUCCUCCACGGGAGCAACAGCCCUCCCCUAAACAAGGGCUUUAGAAAUUUGUGGCUCUUUGUCUGGCAUUUUAUGACAGAAGCCAGGGAAGCUGAAUGGCUUACAAAGCCCUGGAGAGAACAGUCACAACUUGUCCUGCAUCCUAUACUCCUUUGGAGUGUUCCUUCAGACACCUGGGCUGGUUUCCUGGUCAGGAGACUGCAACUGGUCUACAUAAGCUGUCGUUGGUGUUGAUCUGCACGUUUGAGGAAUGAGCAAGUAAGUACAUGGUCUAAAUUUCAAAGAUGUAGUCUAAGCCUUCCUCGUUUCUGAGAAGAGUUUUUAGUGCUUGUUUUUUAAAUAGUCCUAUAGGGAAAUGAGGCAGAUGGCGUUGGCUCACGUGAAGAUCCGUUCCUGCCGCAUGUGGUACAGGCCCAGCAGUGGGGAGACCAAGGUAAAAGGAGAUACGGGCACUGUCUUCAGGGAGUUGAUAGUCCAGAGGGGAAGAGACCAAAAAAGGGACCCACCGCAGUGCAGCAUGAAUAUUCGUGAACAAGCCACCAUACAGGGCAGGUGUGGAUAGGAGGCUUACCCAGGCCUUGCCUCACAGUGGUCAGCAUGGCAGAAAGGGGGUCACUACUCAAGCACCUCCUUCCCCAACACUGACACCUCCCGUGCAGAAAGUCCCUCUGCCCCCAGUUGGGCCGUAAUGUCCAGCUGGUUAGUUUGAGCUUGGGUGUCUUUCUCCUAGUACUUUUCUGGGAGCCAUGGCCUGAGUCUUGGAAGCAUGCCCUUGGAGGGCCAUCCGGGGUCAGGACUGCUCAGGGCGGUGAAGGCUCUGUGACGCACAAUGAGGAUGUGCUUUGCUUCAAGUGCAAGGUGAGAUGUCUUCCACGUACCUUAUGUAGCCCACCUGGGGCCUGUGCUGCAGGAACCAGCGGUAGGACACCUUGUCCUUCCAGCCCACGUUCCUCGAGUCCUUCCACAGCAGCCGGACCUGGUCACUCGUGUCCCCAGUGUGCCACAGGGAGUUGCGGAGAUGCUCCCCUGGGCCUGUCUUAGACUUAACAGCCUGGAAAGGACACGAGCACGGUAGAACCAAAUACACAGACCACCCUUCCUGCUUCCUGGGUCCCUGGGGUGGUGACUUCAUGGUUACAAUCUGGCUGUCUUGGAUUUGGACAAAAGCGUAAACACUUAAAUGCCCUUUCUCCUGAGGUGACCUUUAACCCUUUAAUAACCAGCUCUGGCUGAUACCCCACUAACCCAUUCCACUUUUUUUCCUGCUGUAAAUCCAUUGCUCCCCACAUGUGUUUCUGAGAGCUCUAAAGUGUGCCUUUUCUCCAAGCAGGAGUGAGGGAGGCAGUGGCUCAGCCCUCCUGUACACAGCUGGCCCCAUCAAGGGAACAGAUUAGCCAGUUAAACUGGUAUGUUGUGCCUGGUGACAUACCCCCAAAUCUCUCCCAACUCUUGAGCCCUACUCAGACUGACAUUUUCACCAUCAGUCACCCAGAGGUUAGGACACAGCUUGUACCCAAGAAUGAAGGCCAAGCCCUGGGUGUACUGUAGCACAAACACCUCGAUGUCACAGAUGAACUAAAUGCCACAUGGGACAACAGAGGAUUUUAAAAGAGGGCUCCGAAGAGAGAUGAGUAUCUUAGAGCUGUUGGUACCUUAAGCUGGAUGCCAGGUUCCGCCACAGCGCGGAAUGGCGUGGCUUGCCAAUAUGUCUGCUCUGUCUGCUUCCACAUGACUACGUAGAAGCUGGAGCUGUCUUGGUAACCAAAGAUGAAGCCAGCAUAGUCAUCGUCUGUCUGGGUGUUUACGUGGAAGGUCCCUUCAAAGUCAACUCCGUUGAAUGCCGUGUACCCUGCAGGGAUCAGAAGAAGAUCAGAGAGGCAGACCAGCCACAUGAGGAGCUGCAACGAGUGGAUUCUAUACACGUGCUCCUGAUGCCCUGGACCUACCCACUGCCAGGCCAGGAUCGCUGUUCAUAGUCUGCACAAUCUCCAUGCCCUGCAGAGAGAGUUGAAGGCCAUCUUAGAGGGUGGAGAAAGCUCAAGGAAGCCCAGAGCCUCUGGCACCAUUGGUGAGUGGUCAGCAAGGUCUGACCUCCACACAAAGAUUUAAUUACCUGAGGAACUGUUCUACCUUGUUAUGUCCUCAAAGAAAGCACACACUUGUGAGGGGGGAAAGAGAAGCUGAAUAGAGAUUAUUUUGCUAAAACUGUAAUUAAGGGUUUAUUGAAUCAGCUUAAUUGAGAGAACAUAGACUUCUAAUGAAUGUGACUUCCUGGGUGACACUAAAAAACCCAAGCCUC